UCAGGUUUAAAAGAAUUUGUACUGUUGUUCUGAAAGCUGCUCUGAGCAUCAUCAUGAUGAGAUGCCAGUACGUCCUGAGGAGUCACAUUUCCUCCUAGUUGCAAUGAUACGCUUCCUUGUAAAUUUUCCCGCCCAGAGAAGCUUAGGAUUCUAGAAUCGGCAGAAAGAAUUUGCUGAACACCUGUAUGGCUGUCUGAUACCCUCAUUCUUUUCAAGGACCUUUCACUAGGAUCAGUUUCCACAUCUUUCAUCACCUGCAUUUGGUUUAGUAAGGAAUAACUUGGUUGAGGAAAGCUAUUUGGUUUGAG
rnacentral:misc_RNA from 1 species